GAUGAACGCUGGCGGCGUGCCUAAUACAUGCAAGUCGAGCGAACAGACGAGGAGCUUGCUCCUCUGACGUUAGCGGCGGACGUGUGAGUAACACGUGGAUAACCUACCUAUAAGACUGGGAUAACUUCGGGAAACCGGAGCUAAUACCGGAUAAUAUAUUGAACCGCAUGGUUCAAUAGUGAAAGACGGUUUUGCUGUCACUUAUAGAUGGAUCCGCGCCGCAUUAGCUAGUUGGUAAGGUAACGGCUUACCAAGGCAACGAUGCGUAGCCGACCUGAGAGGGUGAUAGGCCACACUGGAACUGAGACACGGUCCAGACUCCUACGGGAGGCAGCAGUAGGGAAUCUUCCGCAAUGGGCGAAAGCCUGACGGAGCAACGCCGCGUGAGUGAUGAAGGUCUUCGGAUCGUAAAACUCUGUUAUUAGGGAAGAACAAAUGUGGAAGUAACUAUGCACGUAUUGACGGUACCUAAUCAGAAAGCCACGGCUAACUACGUG
rnacentral:rRNA from 1 species